rnacentral:lncRNA from 1 species
AGCAGUGAGCACAUGGCAAGGACCCAGCAGCAGGGACACGGGCACGAGCAUGUGGGUACCCCAGGUCUCACUCCCUCUAAGCAAAACCCUCUGUGCCCCAAGCUGCAGGUGCUGGCGUGACCACCCAGGAUAGCUCCCCAGGCGAGGAUGAGUGUGGGGGUGGGUGAAUGAAGGGAGGUGUGUGUGGGGUGAAGAUGGGAAGGGAGAGGGAACUUGCCCUGGGUGUGAGCUCCUGGGAAGAAAUCACUUCCCUGUGUGGAACACAAAGAUUUUGUGCCCAGUUCUGGGCUCCGCAGUACAAGAGGGGCAUAGAACUGCUGGAGACAGUCCAGAGGAUGGCUACGAAGAUGAUCAGAGGACUGGAGCUGAGAAAACAGGGCCUAAGUAGCCAGGAAAAGAGGAGACUGAGGGGAAAACUCAUCAAUGUAUAUAAAUAUCUGUGGGGAGGGUGUCGAGAGGAUGGAGCUGGUCUCUUUUCGGUUGUGCCCAGCGACAAAACGAGAGGCAAAAGGCACAAACUGAAGCAUAGGAGGUUCUGGCUCAGUAUGAGGGGGCGCUUCUUUACUGGGAGGGUGACAGAGCACUGGAACAGGCUGCCCAGAGAGGUUGUGGAGUCUCCUUCUCUGGAGAUAUUCCAAGCCCACCUGGAUGCCAUCCUGUGCAAGGUGCUCUAGGUGAUCCUGCUCAGCAGAAGGUUGGACUAGAUGACCUUCAGAGGUCCCUUCCAACCUUGGCCAUUCUGUGAUUGUGUGAUCCUCUAGCUCCCAGAAUCACAGAGAGUGGUGGUGGCAUAAUAAUUGAAGAGCCACACCUCGGCCAUGCCAUCCUUAAUUCCUCCCGAGAGCAUUUGGACACCAUAUCCAUGGGGGCCGAUGUUGGCACAGCAGCCACGGACACUUUUAUGCCUCCCCUGGGGAUGGUGCUGGCUGUCAGUGGGGAGAUGUGCCCGUGGGGCUGUGUGUCCCAAGCCCCACACAGACGUGCUCAGGCCUGUUGCAGGAUGCGUGCUACAGGUGGGGCUCAGUCUGGACAGGAACUAGGCAAGCAGACACUCAGCCUGUCCCUUUCUUCUGACAGGCAGUGUGGCCAGCUCCCCAACAAGGCCAUCGCCCCCAGCUCCCCAUGCCUGGCUCCCGCACGCCCUCCCCACAGGCACGGCGCUGGCAGUGGCGGCCGUCGGCCUCGUCCUCCUGGCUGCAGGCAGCUGGUUUGCCAUCAGGAAAGGUGCCUGCAGAGGGAGAUGCCCAAGGUGAGCACCAAGGGCUCCUGGCUGGGGGGUUUGCAGGAGGGAGUCGGGGGCACUCCAGAGCUCUGGGGUGCUCCUCGGCCAGGGGCAUUCCCUGUGCUGAAGACACGAAGGAUGGGGCUUGUCUUGGGCUGCCCUCCAGUUCAAUGCCAAAUGCAGGAAAGCAACACCAAAGUGCGUAAGCCUCAUGACCCCUCCUCAGCACACGCACACCCCAGAACCAUUCCCAUUCCUCUCCAGGCAGCAGCACGUUGA